UACAGAGGGUGCGAGCGUUAAUCGGAAUUACUGGGCGUAAAGCGCGCGUAGGCGGCUUUGCAAGUCGGGUGUGAAAUCCCCAGGCUUAACCUGGGAACUGCAUUCGAGACUGCAUUGCUAGAGUAUGGGAGAGGGAAGUGGAAUUUCCGGUGUAGCGGUGAAAUGCGUAGAUAUCGGAAGGAACAUCAGUGGCGAAAGCGACUUCCUGGACCAACACUGACGCUGAGGAGCGAAAGCAAGGGGAGCAAACGGG
rnacentral:rRNA from 1 species